rnacentral:rRNA from 1 species
CCCUUAGAUGUUCUGGGCCGCACGCGCGCUACACUGAUGCAUUCAACGAGUCUAAAACCUGGUCUGAUAGGGCUGGGUAAUCUUUUGAAAGUGCAUCGUGAUUGGGAUAGAUGAUUGCAAUUCUUCAUCUUCAACGAGGAAUUCCUAGUAAGCGUAAGUCAUCAGCUUGCGUUGAUUACGUCCCUGCCCUUUGUGCACACCGCCCGUCGCUACUACCGAUUGAAUGGCUUAGUGAGGCCUCCGGAUUGGCUUUGGGGAGCCGGCAACGGCACCUCAUGGCUGAGAAGUUGGUCAAACUUGGUCAUUUAGAGGACGUAAAAGUCGUAACA